AUUGAACGCUGGCGGCAGGCCUAACACAUGCAAGUCGAACGAGUGGCGGACGGGUGAGUAAUGUCUGGGAAACUGCCGGAUGGAGGGGGAUAACUACUGGAAACGGUCGCUAAUACCGCAUACCAUCAGAUGUGCCCAGAUGGGAGUGGCUAGUUGGUGGGGUAACGGCUCACAAAGGCGACGUGCCCUAGCUGGUCUGAGAGGAUGACCAGCCACACUGGAACUGAGACACGGUCCAGACGCCUACGGGAGGAAGCAGUGGGGAAUAUUGCACAAUGGGCGCAAGCCUGAGGCAGCCAUGCCGCGUGUAUGAAGAAGGCCUUCGGGUUGUAAAGUACGUUCAGCGGGGAGGCGUUACCCGCAGAAGAAGCACCGGCUAACUCCGUGCCAGCAGCCGCGGUAAUAC
rnacentral:rRNA from 1 species